GAAGGCAUCUUCAACAGCUGGAAAGAAUUUCGGUCAAGGAUGAGCUCGCGGCCUAUCAGCUAGUUGGUGAGGUAAUGGCUCACCAAGGCGUCGACGGGUAGCCGGCCUGAGAGGGUGACCGGCCACACUGGGACUGAGACACGGCCCAGACUCCUACGGGAGGCAGCAGUGGGGAAUAUUGCACAAUGGGCGCAAGCCUGAUGCAGCAACGCCGCGUGAGGGACGACGGCCUUCGGGUUGUAAACCUCUUUUAGCAGGGAAAAAGCGAAAGUGACGGUACCUGCAGAAAAAGCACCGGCUAACUACGUGCCAGCAGCCGCGGUAAUACGUAGGGUGCAAGCGUUAUCCGGAAUUAUUGGGCGUAAAGAGCUCGUAGGCGGUUUGUCACGUCUGCUGUGAAAACUGGAGGCUCAACCUCCAGCCUGCAGUGGGUACGGGCAGACUAGAGUGCGGUAGGGGAGAUUGGAAUUCCUGGUGUAGCGGUGGAAUGCGCAAAUAUCAGGAGGAACACCGAUGGCGAAGGCAGAUCUCUGGGCCGUAACUGACGC
rnacentral:rRNA from 1 species